rnacentral:lncRNA from 1 species
AAAAUAGGGGAAGAUGUGGAAGGUCGGCGGACAGAUAGAGCUAAGGAGGAAAAUUAAGGGCAGUGAGGAAUCAGAAAAAUGUUCCGGCUGAAACAGAGAAUCAAGAAAAGGAAAAACAGAGGAGGCGGCGGGGGAAAAAUUGAAGAAGAAACGGAGGAACCAAAGCAGAGGCACAAAGCUGCGAUGAAAAAUCGAGCAAGGAAGGUUCAUCCGAGGAGUUGCUGUUGCCGCUGCUGCAACCGGAAUUUG